GAUCGAGUGGAAGCACAUUGUUGAGCUCAACAAUUUGCAAAAAAAGGCAGGGCUACAUGCAGCCAACAAACUGACAGAUACUCAUGUUUCCCUGGCGGCACAGACAUUAAGCAACUCGGUUGCAGUGGCCCUCCGGACACUGAAAGAUCUUGGCUACGAACAAUUUAAUGUGAAGCCACAGUGGAAUUCCUUCAGGAGGCUGGAAUAACAACCCAACUGCUGGACAGUUCCAGGGUAUCUUCCGCAAGCUCAUGUAUAGAUGUGGUGUCAAGCCUGUGGAUUCUGGCAACGUGAGAGGACAG
ensembl:lncRNA